GUGAGGAUGAGUCAGUGCUUAGAGGAGCUGCCUACAAGAAACACCAAGGAGGUUGGUGGCUGUGAAUCACAGUGCUGUUCAUGAGAUCUGCAAGUCUCUCUGGGUUUCACUGCUCCUAAAGCAACAGGGAGAUUUAUGGCUCUUUCUGCCUUUCUCAACAUGGCCACAGUUGCUAUACUCAAGAUACCAAUCAGGUGGAAGACCCAGGAACCAUUUGGGAGUUUUGCCUCUGGGACUCCUGGAAGGACAGAGAUGGAAAGACUCUAACAUCUGCACGUGGGCUGCCUUCAGCUUUGCAGGAUUUGCUGAAAAUGGUGGUGGCAUCUCAACCCUUCCAGAUCUGGCCAAUUUCAGCCCUACUCUUCUUUCAGUGUGCUGCAGUAAUUAUCAGAUGAUGAGAAACUCUCCACAGCCUGUCUCUCCUGGCAGCAAGGCUGCCAGCUUCAGACAAAUCUUGGCUGUCUCCCAGGGCAGGGCAGUGAGCCCAGACACUCUGAAUGACCCUCUUCUGCCAUAUAGACACAGGACACGCACUCCUUUUGAAGGAAACUGCUGUGAGUGUACUUCCCCAAGCCCUGUACUGGCACUGUGUGAACCCCAGGAACACAGGCUGCUUGAGUGCCAGCCAAAUCCUCAUUAACCCGCUGACUAUUCCAAUCACAUACUGACCAACAUGUCCGAAAGGGUCAAGGAAAAUAAAGGUCAGGAGAGGGUGGUGAUGUCUGCUGAUGUAAACCUGAGUCCUCACAGUGGUGCUGCAAUUUCCUCGCUGCACCUGAUUCAAAAAUACACCAACAGGUAUGUGGAAUCUUGGAGAAUCUACAGUGUAUUCUUGGGAGAUAAAGGAACAUUUUUUUAAUAUGAGGAGAGAGUCUGGGUUUGCCUCAUGAUAUGUGUAUGGAUAAUCCAUUUCUUAUGGAAUUGGUCUCUUGCAUUGUAAGACUGAAAUAAUCACCAAAUGCCAGAUGUGACAAAAAAUGUAAUCACCCUGGUUUUGACCCCAUUUUUAAUCUUGUGUUAGCUUUUUGUUUCAUACACGCACUUACAAUUGAGCCCAAACAAUAAGGAUGUUUUAUGCCAUCAUGACAGAAUGAGUACAUAUUGUGCCU